rnacentral:rRNA from 1 species
UACAGAGGUCUCGAGCGUUGUUCGGAUUCAUUGGGCGUAAAGGGUGCGUAGGCGGCCGCGCAAGUCUGGCGUGAAAGCCCCGGGCUCAGCCCGGGAAGGGCGCUCGAAACGGCGCGGCUCGAGUGCCGGAGGGGAGAGUGGAAUUCCUGGUGUAGCGGUGAAAUGCGUAGAUAUCAGGAGGAAUACCGGUGGCGAAAGCGACUCUCUGGACGGCAACUGACGCUGAGGCACGAAAGCGUGGGGAGCAAACAGG